rnacentral:rRNA from 1 species
UACCAGCACCCCGAGUGGUCGGGACGAUUAUUGGGCCUAAAGCAUCCGUAGCCGGCCUUACAAGUCCCCCGUUAAAUCCAACUGCUUAACAGAUGGGCUGCGGAGGAUACUAUAAGACUAGGAGGCAGGAGAGGCAAGCGGUACUCAGUGGGUAGGGGUAAAAUCCGUUGAUCCAUUGAAGACCACCAGUGGCGAAGGCGGCUUGCCAGAAUGCGCUCGACGGUGAGGGAUGAAAGCUGGGGGAGUAAACCGG